rnacentral:rRNA from 1 species
UAACAAGGUUCCCAUGACUGAGGGACUUAAUCAGUAUAUGCCUUUUUCUUGAUUUUGUCGUCUCAACGGAAGCCUUGCAAGUAAAGUCUGCCUUCGGGCGGGCAACAUUCGCCUGUAGCUGGAAGCUUCACCCCUAUACGGGGUUAACAAUCAGCUGCUACAUGCCUUACACAUGUAGUCCACAGAUCAAACGCCGAGUGGCCUCUCCUUUUUUCCCCCGGAUAGAGCUGGGAUUAAAAAGUUGGAGGUUAAGAUAUGACCGUAGCAGCUCUGCGAAGAGUCUGGUAUACUAGUUCCGUAGGUGAACCUGCGGAAGGAUCAUUA